rnacentral:rRNA from 1 species
UACGUAGGGGGCAAGCGUUGUCCGGAUUUAUUGGGCGUAAAGAGCGUGUAGGCGGCCAUACAGGUCAGCUGUGAAAACUCGAGGCUCAACCUCGAGACGUCGGUUGAAACCGUUUGGCUAGAGUCCGGAAGAGGAGAGUGGAAUUCCCGGUGUAGCGGUGAAAUGCGCAGAUAUCAGGAAGAACACCUAUGGCGAAGGCAGCUCUCUGGGACGGUACUGACGCUGAGACGCGAAAGCGUGGGGAGCGAACAGG